UACGUAGGGUGCAAGCGUUGUCCGGAAUUAUUGGGCGUAAAGAGCUCGUAGGUGGCCUGUCGCGUCGGCUGUGAAAACUCGGGGCUCAACUCCGAGCUUGCAGUCGAUACGGGCAGGCUAGAGUUCGGCAGGGGAGACUGGAAUUCCUGGUGUAGCGGUGAAAUGCGUAGAUAUCAGGAGGAACACCUGUGGCGAAAGCGGCUCACUGGACCAUAACUGACGCUGAUGCACGAAAGCUAGGGGAGCAAACAGG
rnacentral:rRNA from 1 species